rnacentral:rRNA from 1 species
CAGCAGCCACGGGAAUACGAAGGGUGCAAGCGUUAAUCGGAAUUACUGGGCGUAAAGCGUGCGUAGGCGGUUUGUUAAGUCUGUUGUGAAAUCCCCGGGCUCAACCUGGGAAUGGCAGUGGAUACUGGCUCGCUAGAGUGUGUCAGAGGAUUGUGGAAUUCCCGGUGUAGCGGUGAAAUGCGUAGAGAUCGGGAGGAACAUCAGUGGCGAAGGUGGCCAUCUGGGACAACACUGACGCUGAGGCACGAAAGCGUGGGGAGCAAACAGGAUUAGAUACCCCCGUAGUCCCUGUCUCUUAUAC